rnacentral:rRNA from 1 species
GUGCACCAGGCGCGAAACCUCCGCAAUGCGGGAAACCGUGACGGGGUCACCCCGAGUGCCACCCGAUGAGGGUGGCUUUUCCCCGGUCUAAAAAGCCGGGGGCAAUAAGCGGGGGCAAGUCUGGUGUCAGCCGCCGCGGUAAUACCAGCCCCGCGAGUGGUCGGGACGUUUAUUGGGCCUAAAGCGUCCGUAGCCGGCUCGGUAAGUCCCUCCUUAAAUCCACGGGCUCAACCCGUGGGCUGGGAGGGAUACUGCCGGGCUAGGGGGCGGGAGAGGCCGAGGGUACUCCCGGGGUAGGGGCGAAAUCCGUUAAUCCCGGGGAGGACCACCAGUGGCGAAGGCGCUCGGCUGGGACGCGCCCGACGGUGAGGGACGAAAGCUGGGGGAGC